rnacentral:rRNA from 1 species
GACGUAGGGUGCGAGCGUUGUCCGGAUUUAUUGGGCGUAAAGAGCUCGUAGGCGGCUUGUUGCGUCAGCUGUGAAAACCCGCGGCUUAACCGUGGGCCUGCAGCUGAUACGGGCAAGCUAGAGUUCGGUAGGGGAGACUGGAAUUCCUGGUGUAACGGUGAAAUGCGCAGAUAUCAGGAGGAACACCGGUGGCGAAGGCGGGUCUCUGGGCCGAUACUGACGCUGAGGAGCGAAAGCGUGGGGAGCGAACAGG